GGAAAAGUUUUUAGUUUUAAUACGAGUCUCUAGGUGCAACGGGGGUGUUGUCGUUACACCUAGAGGAUCUGCUCUCUCUGCAGUUUGACAGGACCAGGCAGUGUAUCAUCAUCAUCUGAUCAUGGCAAAGUGCAGAGGAAGCAGCAGUUGCAGAGAGAGUCUCUAGGUGUAACGGCAACGCCCCCGUUGCUCCUAGAGGCUCAUUUGCAUAUAUUAAAACAUCAUUUUCCUCAGCAAUGCGGGCACAUAUGAACAUGGAACCAACACAGAUGCCUUCAGCUGCCAAGUGCACAUGUAACGGGUCAGCCAGUCUCAUAGGUACAAAGCUGCUGACAGAUGCCCUUUAAGGAAACUGGAUAGAAUUUUUUUUUUUAAAUAUUGUGACCAUAUCAAGUUCUGCUAUAAAUCGGUCGAGCUAAAGUAACACCACAUGUUAGACUACUACUGUGUGAAUGGGAUGCAGCUAUGAUAUGAAGCCAGCUCAAAAACUCUCAGGAUGAUCGGGAGCAGGGGAAGAAAAAAAGGCACAAUGAACUUCAACUCAUUUUCUUUUUGUUUGUUUGUCUUUUAUGUGCACAAGAGUUGAAAAACGUUUUGAGCCACCUUAAAGAGAAA